rnacentral:rRNA from 1 species
GUGAGUAACGCGUAGGUAACCUGCCUGGUAGCGGGGGAUAACUAUUGGAAACGAUAGCUAAUACCGCAUAAUAGUAGAUGUUGCAUGACAUUUGCUUAAAAGGUGCAAUUGCAUCACUACCAGAUGGACCUGCGUUGUAUUAGCUAGUUGGUGAGGUAACGGCUCACCAAGGCGACGAUACAUAGCCGACCUGAGAGGGUGAUCGGCCACACUGGGACUGAGACACGGCCCAGACUCCUACGGGAGGCAGCAGUAGGGAAUCUUCGGCAAUGGACGGAAGUCUGACCGAGCAAACGCCGCGUGAGUGAAAGAAAGGUUUUUCGGAUCGUAAAAGCUCUGUUGUAA